rnacentral:rRNA from 1 species
CAGUAGCCGCGGUAAUACGUAGGUGGCAAGCGUUGCCCGGAAUUAUUGGGCGUAAAGGGCUCGCAGGCGGUUUCUUAAGUCUGAUGUGAAAGCCCCCGGCUCAACCGGGGAGGGUCAUUGGAAACUGGGAAACUUGAGUGCAGAAGAGGAGAGUGGAAUUCCACGCGUAGCGGUGAAAUGCGUAGAGAUGUGGAGGAACACCAGUGGCGAAGGCGACUCUCUGGUCUGUAACUGACGCUGAGGAGCGAAAGCGUGGGGAGCGAACAGGAUUAGAUACCCCGGUAGUCCCUGUCUCUUAUAC